rnacentral:rRNA from 1 species
UUUGUCCUACGGGGCGCAGCAGUAGGGAAUAUUGCUCAAUGGGGGAAACCCUGAAGCAGCAACGCCGCGUGGAGGAUGAAGGUCUUCGGAUUGUAAAGUCCUUUUGUUAGAGAAGAUAAUGACGGUAUCUAACGAAUAAGCGCCGGCUAACUCCGUGCCAGCAGCCGCGGUAAUACGGAGGGGGCAACCGUUACUCGGAAUCACUGGGCGUAAAGAGCGCGUAGGCGGGAUAG